AACGCUAGCUACAGGCUUAACACAUGCAAGUCGAGGGGCAGCAUAAAAGUAGCAAUACUUUGGUGGCGACCGGCGCACGGGUGAGUAACGCGUAUGCAACCUACCUAUCAGAGGGGGAUAACCCGGCGAAAGUCGGACUAAUACCGCAUAAAACAGGGGCACCGCAUGGUGAUAUUUGUUAAAGAUUAAUUGCUGAUAGAUGGGCAUGCGUUCCAUUAGGUAGUUGGUGGGGUAAUGGCUCACCAAGCCGACGAUGGAUAGGGGAACUGAGAGGUUGGUCCCCCACACUGGUACUGAGACACGGACCAGACUCCUACGGGAGGCAGCAGUGAGGAAUAUUGGUCAAUGGGCGAGAGCCUGAACCAGCCAAGUCGCGUGAAGGAAGAAGGAUCUAUGGUUCGUAAACUUCUUUUGCAGGGGAAUAAAGUGGAGGACGUGUCCUCUUUUGUAUGUACCCUGAGAAUAAGGAUCGGCUAACUCCGUGCCAGCAGCCGCGGUAAUACGGAGGAUCCGAGCGUUAUCCGGAUUUAUUGGGUUUAAAGGGUGCGUAGGUGGUUUAAUAAGUCAGCGGUGAAAGUUUGCAGCUUAACUGUAAAAAUGCCGUUGAAACUGUUAGACUUGAGUGUAAAUGAGGUAGGCGGAAUGCGUGGUGUAGCGGUGAAAUGCUUAGAUAUCACGAAGAACUCCGAUUG
rnacentral:rRNA from 1 species